rnacentral:rRNA from 1 species
UAAGGAAUAUUGGUCAAUGGAGGGAACUCUGAACCAGCCAUGCCGCGUGCAGGAAGACGGCCCUCUGGGUUGUAAACUGCUUUUAUUCGGGAAUAAACCUAUUUACGUGUAAAUAGCUGAAUGUACCGAAGGAAUAAGGAUCGGCUAACUCCGUGCCAGCAGCCGCGGUAAUACGGAGGAUCCAAGCGUUAUCCGGAUUUAUUGGGUUUAAAGGGUGCGUAGGCGGCUUAUUAAGUCAGGGGUGAAAGACGGUGGCUCAACCAUCGCAGUGCCCUUGAUACUGAUGAGCUUGAAUGAACUAGAGGUAGGCGGAAUGUGACAAGUAGCGGUGAAAUGCAUAGAUAUGUCACAGAACACCGAUUGCGAAGGCAGCUUACUAUGGUUUUAUUGACGCUGAGGC